rnacentral:rRNA from 2 species
GGAUUGCCCUAGUAACGGCGAGUGAAGCGGCAACAGCUCAAAUUUGAAAUCUGGCUCUUUCAGGGUCCGAGUUGUAAUUUGUAGAGGGUGCUUUGCCGUUGACUGUGGUCUAAGUUCCUUGGAACAGGACGUCGCACAGGGUGAGAAUCCCGUAUGUGGCCGCCAGUCUUCGCCGUGUAAAGCCCCUUCGACGAGUCGAGUUGUUUGGGAAUGCAGCUCUAAAUGGGAGGUAAAUUUCUUCUAAAGCUAAAUAUUGGCCAGAGACCGAUAGCGCACAAGUAGAGUGAUCGAAAGAUGAAAAGCACUUUGGAAAGAGAGUCAAAAAGCACGUGAAAUUGUUGAAAGGGAAGCGCUUGCAGCCAGACUUGCCUGUAGUUGCUCAUCCGGGCUUUUGCCCGGUGCACUGUUCUAUGGGCAGGCCAGCAUCAGUCCUGGCGGUUGGAUAAAUGUCUGCACAA